AGGAAGUGAAAUCAAGAAGGAAGAAAACACGCAGGAACCAAUCUUACAACCUGAAGUCAGAGUUUCGGAUCCAGAAACCAGUGAAGUUGUGGUUGAACCAGAGGGGUGUGUGUACUACGCCUCCGUCUGCUACACCAAUAAGGCCAAGAGAAAAUCACAGGUUCAUUCCUCCGUGGACAACUCUUCUCCUGAAGAUGCUGCUGCUCAAGAAGCAGUCUACGCCGUAGUCAAAAAAACAGAAACAGAUGAUGUUACUGCCUGAAACUGUUUAAAAAAAAAAUAUUGGAUUUGGUUUUCCAAAAUGUUUGCUUUAAGCAAAUUUUAGCCAAAAAACAAAACUAGAGCUAAUAUCAGCAUUUCACUAGCCUGGCCAUUGCCUCGAUUCUCAUCUCCCUUCACUGUUCAGUCUGGGAUUUCUCCCAUUGAAGUGGAUUCCUCUAGUACAACUUUUACUAGGUCAAUCAGUGAACAGAAGGAAAAGUUAGGACCCUUGAUGUCAAUUUUCUGUUUUAUAAUUUCAGCCUGCCUUAAGUGUUAGCAAUGACGGGAACUUAACGAACUUAGGCAACUUAGCAAGUUAUAAUUUAAAUAACUUAGCAAGUUACAAUUUAAAUAACACAUAAAUUGAAUUAAGAGUCACUGCAAUAAAUCAAUAUUUAUGAGGAAUUUUAUCAAGUGGAGUUGCUCAUUACAACUUGUUUUUAUUAAUAGCCUUACAUUUUUGUAAAGGUGUAGCAGAGAUUCUAUCUGUGCCACUGAACCAAGCUCAUAUCUAAACAUUUAAAUUUUACUUUGACUUUUAUGGGUCUCAAUAUUUUGCUCACUGAGAAAAUCCCAUGUUUGAGUAUUACCACUUAUUACUCAUGUUUGGCCUUGCAGGUUGAACACAUUGAAAACAUUUUAAACCACAUUUUACGUUACAUUUCACUGUAACUUUGCCGACCCCUCCAAAAUUGGUCUUAAAAAUUCUUCCUGUUUUUUGUCCCCCCUAAUAUAGAAAUGAGAUUUCCUCCCUUAAAUAUGUUAAAAAGUCACUAGCUCAACAUAUUAAUUUUGUUAAUAUGAUGGUUUUUAUUUGUUUGUUGCUGUUUUUGGUCUUAAAUUAGAAGAUCAAAGUGAAACUAACUCGGGACUUUCAGACAUGGUGCUCAAAGUUUGAUUGGUUGUUGGACUUAAUGAGUCCGCCCCCACAGAUUCUGGUCAAAAUGGCUCUCAUGAAACCCAGGUAGAGCGAGUUGCUACUCUCAAGUAGAAAGAGUUGAUAUAAAGUUUUUGUCUUAUGUGCUAUAAACAAUAUUUUAACAUGCUUGUAAUCUUUUCCAUCCUCAAAUAAAUGAAACAUUUGUUUGACUGA